CUGGGUGGCUAUGGCUAGGGUGUUCACCUCUUCCCAUUCCGAACAGAGAAGUUAAGACCCAUAGCGUUGAUGGUACUGCCGUAACAGGUGGGAGAGUAAAUUGCCGCCCGAU
rnacentral:rRNA from 1 species